rnacentral:lncRNA from 1 species
UGUUCAAUACAUAUUUACCCUGAAGGUGUUCUGCCUCAAGAGAGUUGAGUCAUUUUGAACUUCAGUCCAGUUUUUCAGACUUAAACCUCAGCAAUUUCUUUUCGCUUUUCUGUCAUUCUCCCUGUCAUCUUACAGAUCUAGAAACUGAGCAGAAAGGGCACGAGUUACUCUAACCUGGUCACCCAGCCACUCGCAGAACUGAAACCAAGAGUCUAGAUGUACACACGGACUACUACAUUGCACAUGAUGAAAAGACAACCUCGACUUUGACACAGUUGAAUUUAACGCAGUGCUGACUCGUGUAGACAUGGCGUCUGAAAGGUGACUGCUUAGCUGCCAGUGAGUCUCCUCAACAUCCAGACCAUGCAGGGACAGCUGUGUUCCAUAAAAGCCUGUCUGGGGAGAUUUUAUUUAUUUAUUUGUUUGAAGGAGAGAGCAAGAGAGAACACAAGCAGUGGGACUGGCAAGCAGAGGCAGAGGGAGAAGCGGCUUCCCACCGAGCAAGGAACCCAAUACAGGACUUGAUCCCAGGACCCUGAGAUCAUGACCUAAGUCAAAGGCAGAUUCUUAAGGAACUGAGCCACCCAGGUGUCCCUCCAGUUAUACUCGUGAGUCCUGCAACCCUUACUCCUGGGCCUGUCUGCUCACAUUUGACCCAGCACUAUCCAAGUGACCAGAGUUAAGUGACCUGGCUUAGUAGUGACCUUUCAACAAGGAAAAGAAGUUAUGUGAUCUUAGCCUGAAAAUAUCUUACUAUUCACUCAGAAAAUACUGUUACAUGCCUUUGGUUCUGGUAAUGUAGUUUCUUUUCUAAAGAGGAAUUUCUCUUCCUGAAAAAAGUUAGUCAUUUUUAUGUUCUGCCUUCUUACGUUUUGUCAUUGAAGAUUCCAUUUCACGAGUUGUAAUAUAGAACACGGGCAGAAUAAAUUCUGGUCUUAUACAGAGAAAGACUUAGGGAAACCUCACUUUUCAAAGGUCACUGCUGGCUGUCCAUGACACGUUAAUAACUUCACCCCCCACUUAGUAUUGCCUAUGCGUUGUGUGGGGGGAUGAGAAAAUGGGAUGUCACAUUAGUCUGUUUGCCGGUAUACACACAGCAUCCACAAACAUAUAUAAUAUUUAUGUUUGUAAUGAAUUUACCUCUGUAAAGAAACUGUAAUAGAGAGAAGAGAUGUAACAAAAUAUGUUAAAACUACUUUGGGAGCUGAUACAGAGCCCAGGAAAAUUUUUCUAUAAUAGUAUAAGUAAAAGCCAUCUAUUAGGGUAAAUUGCCCAGAGCAGAGAGAAGAUAGUGGUUUGUCUUGAGAACAUAUGACAAAGAUAGGACGAAUUCCUGAA